rnacentral:misc_RNA from 1 species
UAUAAAUUAUUUCUUGUUUAUUUCAUUGAACGCCAUCAUGGAGGUUUGUCUCUGAUGUGAGGAUGCUGUGCCGGUGAGAGAGAACACUUCGUGGUUGCUUCGUAGCGGAUGCAAUGACGUAUCGCCUUAAUAUCGUACCUAGUCACCGAAACUCUACAUAACGCAAGUAUGUCGGACAAACUGAAAGCGGCGUUGCAAGAGGAGUACCCGCUCCAUUGGCUCGCUUGGCACAACGACUACGAAGCCCUAAAAGCACUCCUCGAAAAGAGCACAGAAAACAUUGAACAGCGUGACUGCCGGGGUCGGACAGCCCUGAUGCUGGCCGUCACCCUGGGACAUCUCGAAGCGUCGAAGAUACUUCUCAACCAUGGCGCCAAUGUCAAUGUGGAGAACAACGACGGCUACACAGUGGUGCAUGAAGCAGUGAGCACGGGCGACCCUGAGCUUCUGGCGGAAGUUCUGACCCAGCGAGACCUACAACGCUACAGCACGUCAGUCGGGGGUAUCCCUGAUCUUUUGAAGCGCAUCCGGGACACCCCAGACUUCUAUGUGGAGAUGAAGUGGGAGUUUACAAGCUGGGUACCUCUUCUGUCUAGAAUGUGUCCAAGUGACACCUACAAGGUCUACAAGAGCGGAGCUAAUGUACGGAUAGACACCACUCUGCUUGGAUUUGACCAGUCCAACUGGCAGCGUGGCCGCAGGAGCUACAUAUUCAAGGGGCAAGAGGAUCUCGCACUGAUGAUGGAGGUGGACCACGACAGCUGCCAGGUUCAUGUGGAGCAAAUGCAGGUGUUGCCGCCCGAGUACGUCGACCUCACGGGGAGCUUGCGGCCUUCGCAGGAGGCCAUCUCGGCACGCCUCACCUCUCCCGUCGUGGCCACCUACAUAGACACCGACAAGAUCAGCUUUGAAAGGAACAAGUCUGGAAUACUCGGCUGGAAGAGUGACAAGAGCGAAACGAUCAAUGGCCACAACUGCAAAGUGUUCAGUGCAACAAAUGUGGAACUCGUAACCAAGACCAGGGUGGAGCACCUUUCUGAAGCAGACAAGGCACGUCACAAGGCUGCACGGUCGCCAUUGCAGUCUUUCUUGGGCACUGUCGAGGUGGAAGAAGGUGCCGCUCUGGAAAUGCCAAACGGGGAUGUGACGGAGUGGCGGGGCAACCCUUGCCACAUUCGUCCAGAAGAAUAUUUUAACGCCAAAGUGGACUUGGGAGGCCGAGAUAUCGGGCGACCGAGAGAGGCAACAGUACGCACCCAAAAGUUUCGUGCCAAUCUAUGGCUCUGCGAGGACUAUCCGCUGUCCUUACCUCAGCAGAUUCUUCCAAUUGUAGACCUCAUGUCAAUCAACAGCAACCACUUUGCCAGACUACGGGACUUCAUCACGCUGCAACUGCCAGCGGGCUUCCCAGUCAAAAUUGAGAUUCCCCUGUUCCAUGUGCUCAACGCCCGAAUCACCUUUGGCAACAUCAACGCCUUUGACGAGCCCGUCCCAGGGGUGACCACGAUGCGGGAGCAGGGAACAGUCAUGUGCAAGAUUGACGAGAGCUGCUUUGAGGCCCCCAGCAGCUACGCACGGCUCGACGGCCUGAGUGCCCGCCGCGCUUCCCGCCGCCGUGCACCGCUGAGCCCCGAGAGUAGACGCAAACGUAGGGAGAAGCGCCGGCAGGAGGUGUGCGCAAAAUACACUCAAGGAGGGUUGCAGCAACCCCUGGCCAUUCCAAAGGGCCAACAGUCGCUGGCGCAAACAAAAUGCGACAAUUCAACAUCAACGACGAGGACGACGAACUCCUCCAAUACGCCAUCGAGCAGUCGUUCGUGGAGGCAAGCGGAGAGGAGAAUCAGGUCACUGUUUGGGAAGCUCUGACGACUGACCAGACGGGCAUUGCACCGGAGCUGGAAGAGGACCACGCCUUGCAGAGGGCCAUCCAGGAGAGCCUGGCCAGUUACCAGAAGUCAGUUGGUGUUGCGGAUGGAGGGAUCACUGUAGGUGCUGUGAUCCAACAGCAGCCACAGCCACAGGAGCAACAGCAGCAGCAGCAAGAGAGCAACGAGUGGGCCUUGGGUGCCAGCGGAGGCACAGAAUUGGCCAUGGCACUGCGCCUGUCACAACAGGUCAAGGAAGAAGAGGACCGACGCCGGCGAGAAGAAGACGAGAUGCUCGAGCGCAUUCUUCAGCUUUCCAUGACCGAGAAGUAGGGAAGCGGCAUCCGUCACCUUUCAUCCACGCUCGAAGCUGAGCUGUGUUGGAACUCUGCCCUGCUUCGUUGGCAGUGCAGGCAUCCAUCCUUCCCUUUCCUAUCGGCCCUCCCUGCCUUUUUAUCCUUCUCUUUCACUGAUUUUACGCAUCGUGUGCAAGUCUGUUCUCGAAUGUGUGCCGAGAUAAAUUUAAAAAAUGCCUCAUUUUGUUUGUUAGAUGACAGCCCAAAGAAAUCGGGGCAUAAGUGGAGGAGCUGAUGCCAAGGGCAGUCCGUUGGAUGCUGUUUCGCUUGCUUUCGCUGUUUUAAUAAAAUUUCUAUAUUAUGAACGUAAGGUAGUUAGGUGCACGCCGAGAUUUUUGAACGAGUGAGAGGUAGCUUCAAAGCCAGCUGCAUUUUAGCAAGCUACAGAAGUUUGUUCGUUGCAGCCAAACCAACUUGCCUCGGGAAUCGCCUAGCAGAUUGUAACAUAUUUAUAAUUCUACAUAAUGUACAGCACUGAGCACAAGCCACAUUCGUGCAUUGUAAUGGAGGCACUGUACAAAAGCGUUCUGCCCCAUAACUUGCACAUCAAGGCUGAAGGAGGCACCUAUGGCAACCAAAUAAAGUUGGGACUCCAGAGAACCUUUCCUAACGGGCAAGUGAAGACUUUUUUUUUUCUUGUGAUGGCUCUCACUAUGCUGCAGAUUGGCAGGGUUUUUGUGUGUGUUUUUAUUGCAAGCAGAAACAAGUGGAUUAUCGGCAAGUCUGAUUGAUGAGUGCUGACAUACAGAACUUUUCUUG